UGGGGAAUUUUGCACAAUGGGGGAAACCCUGAUGCAGCGACGCCGCGUGAUUUAGAAGGCCUUCGGGUUGUAAAAAUCUUUUCUAUGGGAAGAAAAUGACAGUACCAUAGGAAUAAGGACCGGCUAAUUACGUGCCAGCAGCCGCGGUAAUACGUAAGGUCCGAGCGUUGUCCGGAAUCAUUGGGGGUAAAGGGUACGUAGGCGGGUAAGCAAGUUAGAAGUGAAAUCCUAUAGCUCAACUAUAGUAAGCUUUUAAAACUGCUCAUCUUGAGGUAUGGAAAGGAAAGUGGAGUUCCUAGGGUAGCGGUGAAAUGCGCAGAUAUUAGGAGGGAUACCGGUGGCGAAGGCGACUUUCUGGCCAUAACCUGACGCUGAGGUACGAAAGCGUGGGUAGCAAACAGG
rnacentral:rRNA from 1 species